AAUAUAUUGAAGAUUCUGAGCUUUUGGAACAGUACUUCAAGACAUCAUUCAGCGACCUAGCGUCAGACUCCGAAUUGUCUAAAAAUCUUGAAAAAGCCGAAAGGAACGACGUGGCCUGUACUUCGGAGGAGGGACAGGUUAUACAGGCGUAUACCCCCUUGGAGCCUCACAAUAAACCUCAAAAAUCUGCAAAAAGACCUCUCAAAAAACGGCCCACUAGACGUACACUUCUUGUGGAAAGUGAAUCUUCCGAGGACGAC